GAAACAACAGUGGAAAAAUGAGAUUCUCUUUUUGUGGUUCAUAUAUUAGUUUUUCUCAAACUUUCAAGACUACAAUUUUGGGAAUUUUAAAGUUUCAAUCUAGGUUCUUCCAGAAGGAAAUUUGGGAAAUUUGGCUGUUUUGUUUUGGAUCCUAAUGAUAGGAAAACGAUCUUUUUUUUUUUUGAAGAGUUAGGGAAAACGAUCGAUCGGAUCAACGGGUCGGUCUACUUUCCUCUACUGCCUUUUCAAAGAUCGAUAGGAUCGUAGGGAAACGAUCUUUGAAAAGGCAGUAGAGGAAAGUAGAUCAACGGGAGAACCGCAAAUUUGUUUUGACGACCAGUGGAUGGAUGCAAAAUAAGAAAAGCUGACGAGUGGUUAAGAGAUUCAGUUGUAGAGAUCACGGAGGAGGAACAGGUUUUGGAAGAUUCAGUUGUCUGUAUGGGAAACCAUGAGCCUAUAGUGUGGUGACUCUCCCUUUCUCUGUCAGAGAAGGAAUCAACAUUCUCUUGUCUGGGUUUGUUCCUGCAGAAAAUCUACGUUUUGGAGAUGAAUCUUCAAGAAAGUGCUGAGGAAAUACAUUGGUACACUAGGUAUAAGUACCCCACCAUGACCAAAACACAAGAAAUCUUCAGGUUGAAAGUGACAAAAGGUAAAUUCACAUACUCUCAGAUUAUUGUUAUGAUUGGUGAGAAUGGUACAGGGAAGACAAUAUUUAUCCUGAUGCUGAUGCUGAUAUUCUCUUCUUACAGAUACAUAGCCGAAGUUCUUAUGGACGACCACAGAAAAUGAAGCCACAGAGAAGUUUUUUUUUUUUUUUUGAGAAAAGGCAUAACCAUAGAGGAGCUUUCGAAGGCCAUAUCCUUUAAAUUAAGAUCUGCAGCUGUUACAUCUACAAGCAGCGUUCUAUGAUUCCAUGAGACAAGGAGCAUCUGCUAUCAAAGAUUGUGAAGCAGCGUUGUGUAUUGAUCCAGGUCAUGCAGAUACACUUGACCUCUACCAUAAAGCACGUGAAACAAAUGCCACAGAUCCAAAGUAGAACAAAAACAAAAUCUCUUCUCUUAUUUCCCUCCUGGUAUGUUUCUACACUGUUUCAUAUCCUUGGCUUAGCAGAGAAGAAGGUUUGGCUUGAGUGAACAGAGAAGAAGAAGAAGAAUGGCCAUGUAAACGGAAACUCUUAUAAUAUUUUUUUCCCUUUAAUUUUGGUUAUUGGGGGAGGUGAGGAUACUAUAGCAGUGCAGAGAGUGUGUCUUGCUGCUAAAGGUAAUACUUUUCCUUGACCUAAUAGGAAAACCAGUGAAAAAAACUUACCUGUGGUGAAACUGGACUUCUUCUACUGUCCUAUUUCUACAUGUACAAUUAAAUGUCCUAAAUAUCAUGAUUGUUAUGUA